CCCUUAGAUGUUCUGGGCCGCACGCGCGCUACACUGACGAUGGCAACGAGUUUUUACUUCGCCGAAAGGUGUGGGUAAUCUUUUGAAACAUCGUCGUGCUGGGGAUAGAUCAUUGCAAUUUUUGAUCUUGAACGAGGAAUUCCUAGUAAGCGCGAGUCAUCAGCUCGCGUUGAUUACGUCCCUGCCCUUUGUACACACCGCCCGUCGCUACUACCGAUUGAAUGGUUUAGUGAGGACUCCUGAUUGGCGCCGCCGCCCCGGCAACGGAGCAGCGGACUGCCGAAAAGUUGUUCAAACUUGAUCAUUUAGAGGAAGUAAAAGUCGUAACA
rnacentral:rRNA from 1 species